AGUGAACGCUGGCGGUAGGCCUAACACAUGCAAGUCGAACGGCAGCACAGUAAGUGCUUGCUCUUACGGGUGGCGAGUGGCGGACGGGUGAGGAAUACAUCGGAAUCUACUUUUUCGUGGGGGAUAACGUAGGGAAACUUACGCUAAUACCGCAUACGACCUACGGGUGAAAGCAGGGGAUCUUCGGACCUUGCGCGAUUGAAUGAGCCGAUGUCGGAUUAGCUAGAUGGCGGGGUAAAGGCCCACCAAGGCGACGAUCCGUAGCUGGUCUGAGAGGAUGAUCAGCCACACUGUAACUGAGACACAGUCCAGACUCCUACAGGAGGCAGCAGUGGGGAAUAUUGGACAAUGGGCGCAAGCCUGAUCCAGCCAUACCGCGUGGGGGAAGAAGGCCUUCUGGUUGUAAAGCCAUUUUGUUGGGAGAGAAAAGCAGCAGGUUAAUACCCCGCUGUUCUGACGGUACCCAAAGAAUAAGCACCGGCUAACUUCGUG
rnacentral:rRNA from 1 species